GGCCUGAUGGCCGAGUGGCUAGCGCUGUGGCGCUCGGUGCCAUGGAUGUUUGCAGUGGUUCGGAAACCACUUUAAGCCA